AUUGAACGCUGGCGGCAUGCUUUAUACAUGCAAGUCGAACGGUAACAGGCGGCAAGGUGCUGUCGAGUGGCGAACGGGUGCGUAAUGCAUAGGAACGUGCAAAGUCGCGGGGGGUAACUAAUCACAAGAGUAGCCAAUACCGAAUACGAUAUAUGGUUGUAAGCGGGGGACCGCAAGGGUUAGCGAGAUUUGAGCGGCCGCUGUCAGAUUAGGUAGUUGGUGGGGUAAAGGCUCACCAAGUCAACGAUCUGUAGCUGGUCUGAGAGGACGACCAGCCACACUGGGACUGAGACACGGCCCAGACUCCUACGGGAGGCAGCAGUGGGGAAUUUUGGACAAUGGGCGCAAGCCUGAUCCAGCAAUGCCGCGUGCAGGAAGAAGGCCUUCGGGUUGUAAACUUCUUUUGUACGGAACGAAACGGCUCUGGUUAAUACCCGGGGCUAAUGACGGUACCGUAAGAAUAAGCACCGGCUAACUACGUG
rnacentral:rRNA from 1 species